rnacentral:tRNA from 1 species
GGGGCUGUGGUUUAAUGGUAUAAUGUUCGCUUUGCAGUGCGCAUACAAAUACGUACGCGAAAUGGAAUGCGAAAGGUCGGGGGUUCGAUUCCCUCCAGCUCCA